AUUGAACGCUGGCGGAAUGCUUUACACAUGCAAGUCGAACGGCAGCACGGGUGCUUGCACCUGGUGGCGAGUGGCGAACGGGUGAGUAAUGCACCGGAACGUAUCCAAUAAUGGGGGAUAACGCACCGAAAGGUGUGCUAAUACCGCAUACGCCCUGAGGGGGAAAGCGGGGGAUCGUAAGACCUCGCGUUAAUGGAGCGGCCGAUGCCGGAUUAGCUAGUUGGUGAGGUAAAGGCUCACCAAGGCGACGAUCCGUAGCUGGUCUGAGAGGACGACCAGCCACACUGGAACUGAGACACGGUCCAGACUCCUACGGGAGGCAGCAGUGGGGAAUUUUGGACAAUGGGCGCAAGCCUGAUCCAGCCAUUCCGCGUGAGUGAAGAAGGCCUUCGGGUUGGUUAAAGGACUCUUUCGUCAAGGAAAGAAAACUAAUACUCCUGAUACGAGGUGAGGUUGACGGUACCUUGUAUAAGAAGACACCGGC
rnacentral:rRNA from 1 species